rnacentral:rRNA from 1 species
UGGUGGGUAGUGGCCUACCAAGGCAACGAUCAGUAGCCGGCCUGAGAGGGUGAACGGCCACAUUGGGACUGAGACACGGCCCAAACUCCUACGGGAGGCAGCAG